rnacentral:rRNA from 1 species
AUUGAACGCUGGCGGCAGGCCUAACACAUGCAAGUCGAACGGUAACAGGAAGCAGCUUGCUGCUUUGCUGACGAGUGGCGGACGGGUGAGUAAUGUCUGGGAAACUGCCUGACGGAGGGGGAUAACUACUGGAAACGGUAGCUAAUACCGCAUAACGUCGCAAGACCAAAGAGGGGGACCUUCGGGCCUCUUGCCAUCGGAUGUGCCCAGAUGGGAUUAGCUAGUAGGUGGGGUAACGGCUCACCUAGGCGACGAUCCCUAGCUGGUCUGAGAGGAUGACCAGCCACACUGGAACUGAGACACGGUCCAGACUCCUACGGGAGGCAGCAGUGGGGAAUAUUGCACAAUGGGCGCAAGCCUGAUGCAGCCAUGCCGCGUGUAUGAAGAAGGCCUUCGGGUUGUAAAGUACUUUCAGCGGGGAGGAAGGGAGUAAAGUUAAUACCUUUGCUCAUUGACGUUACCCGCAGAAGAAGCACCGGCUAACUCCGUG